rnacentral:lncRNA from 1 species
GGGCACAGCCGUGCUAAAAAAUAACCGCCCGAAGGCCGGGGCGCCAUGUUCGUCCAGCGGAAAAACGCCACAAAAACGGGUGGGCUAUAGCCUUUGGGGGUGGGGCUGGGCAACUUCGUCCGCCGGACUCGGAAUGGCGCGAGACUUUGCGAGCCGCCUCCGUGUGCCAAAAAUAGGCCACGGACACAGCCGCGCUCAAAAAUAACUGCCCGAAGGCCGGGGCGCCAAGUUCGUCCCGCGGAAAAAGGCGACAAAAACGGGUGGGCUAUAGCCUUGGGGGGUGGGGCUGGCCGACUUCGUCCGCCGGACUCGGAAUGGCGCGAGACUUUGCGAGGCGCCUCCGUGUCACAAAAAUAGGCUGUGGGCGCAGCCGCGCUAAAAAAUAACCGCCCGAAGGCUGGGGCGCGAAGUUCGUCCAGCGGAAAAAGGCCAGAAAAACGGGUGGGCUAUAGCCCUGGGGGGUGGGGCUGGCCAACUUCGUCCGCCGGACUCGGUAUGGCGCGAGACAUUGUGAGCCGCCUCCGUGUGCCAAAAAUAGGCCACGGACACAGCCGCGCUCAAAAAUAACCGCCCGAAGGCCGGGGCGCCAAGUUCGUCCCGCGGAAAAAGGCCACAAAAACGGGUGGGCUAUAGCCUUGGGGGGUGGGGCUGGCCAACUUCGUCCGCCGGACUCGGAAUGGUGCGAGACUUUGCGAGGUGCCUCCGUGUGAUAAAAAUAGGCUGUGGGCAAAGCCGCACCCAAAAAUAACAGCCCGAAGGCCGGGACGCCAAGUUCGUUCAGCGGAAAAAGGCCACAAAAACGGGUGGGCUAUAGCCUUGGGGGGUGGGGCUGGCCAACUUCGUCCGCCGGACUCGGAAUGGCGCGAGACUUUGCGAGGCGCCUCCGUGUGACAAAAAUAGGCUGUGGGCAUAGCCGCACUAAAAAAUAACCGCCCGAAGGCCAGGGCGCGAAGUUCGUCCAGCGGAAAAACGCCACAAAAACGGGUGGGCUAUAGCCUUGGGGGGUGGGGCUGGCCAACUUCGUCCGCCGGACUCGGAAUAGCGGGAGACUUUGCGAGGCACCUCCAUGUACCAAAAAUAGGCUACGGGCACAGCCGCGCCCAAAAAUAACCACCCGAAGGCCGGGGCGCCAAGUUCGUCCAGCGGAAAAAGGCCAGAAAAACGGGUGGGCUAUAGCCCUGGGGGGUGGGGCUGGCCAACUUCGUCCGCCGGACUCGGAAUGGCGCGAGACUUUGCGAGUCACCUCUGUGUGCCAAAAAUUAGCCGCGGGCACAGCCGCGCCCAAAAAUAACCGCCGGAAGGCCGGGGCGCCAAGUUCGUCCAGCGGAAAAAGGCCAGAAAAACGGGUGGGCUAUAGCCCUGGGGGGUGGGGGUGGGGCUGGCCCACUUCGUCCGCCGGACUCGGAAUGGCGGGAGACUUUGCGAGGAACCUCCAGGUGCCAAAAAUAGGCUACGGGCACGGCCGCGCCCAAAAAUAACCACCCGAAGGCCGGGGCGUCAAGUUCGUCCAGCGGAAAAAGGCCAGAAAAACGGGUGGGCUAUAGCCCUGGGGGGUGGGGCUGGCCUACUUCGUCCGCCGGACUCGGAAUGGAGCGAGACUUUGCGAGUCACCUCUGUGUGCCAAAAAUAGGCCGCGGGCACAGCCGCGCCCAAAAAUAACCGCCGGAAGGCCGGGGCGCCAAGUUCGUCCAGCGGAAAAAGGCCGCAAAAACGGGUGGGCUAUAGCCUUGGGGNNNNNNNNNNNNNNNNNNNNNNNNNNNNNNNNNNNNNNNNNNNNNNNNNNNNNNNNNNNNNNNNNNNNNNNNNNNNNNNNNNNNNNNNNNNNNNNNNNNNNNNNNNNNNNNNNNNNNNNNNNNNNNNNNNNNNNNNNNNNNNNNNNNNNNNNNNAAAAACGGGUGGGCUAUAGCCUUGGGGGGGGGGGCUGGGCCAACUUUCUCCCGCCGGACUCGGGAAUGGCGCGAGACUUUGGAGGGUGCCUCCGUGUGACAAAAAUAGGCUGUGGGCAAAACUGCACCCAAAAAUAACAGCCGAAUGCCCGGGACGCCAAGUUCGUCCAGCGGAAAAAGGCCACAAAAACGGGUGGGCUAUAGACUUGGGUGGUGGGGCUGGCCAACUUCGUCCGCCGGACUCGGAAUGGCGUGAGACUUUGCGAGGCGCCUCCGUGUGACAAAAAUAGGCUGUGGGCACAGCCGCGCUAAAAAAUAACCGCCUGAAGCCCGGGGCGCGAAGUUCGUCCAGCGGAAAAACGCCACAAAAACGGGUGGGCUAUAGCCUUGGGGGGUGGGGCUGGCCAACUUCGUCCGCCGGACUCGGAAUGGCGGGAGACUUUGCGAGGCACCUCCAUGUACCAAAAAUAGGCUACGGGCACAGCCGCGCCCAAAAAUAACCGCCCGAAGCCCGGGCGCCAAGUUCGUCCAGCGGAAAAAGGCCAGAAAAACGGGUGGGCUAUAGCCCUGGGGGGUGGGGCGGGCCAACUUCGUCCGCCGGACUUGGAAUGGCGCGAGACUUUGCACGUCGCCUCUGUGUGCCAAAAAUAGGCCGUGGGCACAGCCGCGCCCAAAAAUAACCGCCUGAAGGCCGGGGCGCCAAGUUCGUCCAGCGGAAAAAGGCCACAAAAAUGGGUGGGCUAUAGCCUUGGGGGGUGGGGCUGGCCAACUUCGUCCGCUGGACUCGGAAUGGCGCGAGACUUUGCGAGCCACCUCCGUGUCACAAAAAUAGGCUCUGGGCACAGCCGCGCUAAAAAAUAACCGCCUGAAGGCCGGGGCGCCAAGUUCGUCCAGCGGAAAAACGCCACAAAAACGGGUGGGCUAUAGCCUUGGGGGGUGGGGCUGGCCAACCUCGUCCGCCGGACUCGGAAUGGCGGGAGACUCUGCGAGGCACCUCCAGGUGCCAAAAAUAGGGUACGGGCACAGCCGCGCCCAAAAAUAACCACCCUAAGGCCGGGGCGCCAAGUUCGUCCAGCGGAAAAAGGCCAGAAAAACGGGUGGGCUAUAGACCUGGGGGGUGGGGCUGGCCAACUUCGUCCGCCGGACUCGGAAAGGCGCGAGACGUUACGAGGUGCCUCUGUGUGCCAAAAAUAGGCCGCGGGCACAGCCGCGCCCAAAAAUAACCGCCGGAAGGCCGGGGCGCCAAGUUCGUCCAGCGGAAAAAGGCCACAAAAACGGGUGGGCUAUAGCCUUGGGGGGUGGGGCUGGCCAACUUCGUCCGCCGGACUCGGAAUGGCGCGAGACUUUGCGAGGCCCCUCCGUGUGACAAAAAUAGGCUGUGGGCACAGCCGCGAUAAAAAAUAACUGCCCGAAGGCCGGGGCGCGAAGUUCGUCCAGCGGAAAAACGCCACAAAAACGGGUGGGCUAUAGCCUUGGGGGGUGGGGCUGGCCAACUUCGUCCGCCAGACUCGGAAUGGCGCGAGACGUUACGAGGUGCCUCCGUGUGCCAAAAAUAGGCUGCGGGCACACCCGCACCCAAAAAUAACCGCCCGAAGGCCGGGAUGUC